rnacentral:rRNA from 1 species
GACGAACGCUGGCGGCGUGCUUAACACAUGCAAGUCGAACGGUGAAGCGAGUGCUUGCACUCGUGGAUCAGUGGCGAACGGGUGAGUAACACGUGAGUAACCUGCCCAUCACUCUGGGAUAAGCACUGGAAACGGUGUCUAAUACUGGAUACGACCAACCCUUGCAUGGGGUGUUGGUGGAAAGAUUUAUCGGCGAUGGAUGGACUCGCGGCCUAUCAGCUUGUUGGCGGGGUAAUGGCCCACCAAGGCGACGACGGGUAGCCGGCCCGAGAGGGUGACCGGCCACACUGGGACUGAGACACGGCCCAGACUCCUACGGGAGGCAGCAGUGGGGAAUAUUGCACAAUGGGCGAAAGCCUGAUGCAGCGACGCCGCGUGAGGGAUGACGGCCUUCGGGUUGUAAACCUCUUUCAGCAGGGAAGAAGCGAAAGUGACGGUACCUGCAGAAGAAGCACCGGCUAACUACGUG